rnacentral:misc_RNA from 1 species
ACGAGUUCGAAAGUCGGUCGACCGUGCUGGUGGAAACGCAUGUGCACGUCGGUCGCGAACCAAUCCACACACCGUGAACGUAUGGCCCGGGGUCGCUUUGAUCUCGGGCACCAUUUUUACACUCUGUUUGUAAAGGAAUGUCUAUAAACGUAAACCAUA